rnacentral:rRNA from 1 species
UACGUAGGGGGCUAGCGUUAUCCGGAAUUACUGGGCGUAAAGGGUGCGUAGGUGGUUUCUUAAGUCAGAGGUGAAAGGCUACGGCUCAACCGUAGUAAGCCUUUGAAACUGGGAAACUUGAGUGCAGGAGAGGAGAGUGGAAUUCCUAGUGUAGCGGUGAAAUGCGUAGAUAUUAGGAGGAACCCCAGUUGCGAAGGCGGCUCUCUGGACUGUAACUGACACUGAGGCACGAAAGCGUGGGGAGCAAACAGG